GUGCCAGCAGCCGCGGUAAUACGGAGGGGGCAAGCGUUGUUCGGAUUCACUGGGUGUAAAGGGCGCGUAGGCGGUUUGGUAAGUUAGAUGUGAAAUCUCAAGGCUUAACCUUGAAACUGCAUUUAAUACUGCUGGACUAGAGUACGAAAGAGGGUGAUGGAAUUCUCGGUGUAAGAGUGAGAUCUGCAGAUAUCGAGAGGAACACCUGUAGCGAAGGCGAUCUCCUGGGUCGAUACUGACGCUGAAGUGCGAAAGCUAGGGGAGCGAACGGGAUUAGAUACCCCGGUAGUCCUAGCCGUAAACGAUGAGGACUAGGUGUUGGGGGGUCAUUGACCUUUCGGUGCCGCAGCUAACGCAUUAAGUCCUCCACCUGGGAAGUACGGUCGCAAGGCUGAAACUUAAAUGAAUUGACGG
rnacentral:rRNA from 1 species